GAAACCUUAUUCCUGAGCAUAACUGUUUCCUGACUCUGGACAGAAUGGUCUUAGCUUGCUAAGGCCGAUGGCGACCGGCGCACGGGUGAGUAACACGUAUCCAACCUGCCGUCUACUCUUGGACAGCCUUCUGAAAGGAAGAUUAAUACAAGAUGGCAUCAUGAGUCCGCAUGUUCACAUGAUUAAAGGUAUUCCGGUAGACGAUGGGGAUGCGUUCCAUUAGAUAGUAGGCGGGGUAACGGCCCACCUAGUCUUCGAUGGAUAGGGGUUCUGAGAGGAAGGUCCCCCACAUUGGAACUGAGACACGGUCCAAACUCCUACGGGAGGCAGCAGUGAGGAAUAUUGGUCAAUGGGCGAGAGCCUGAACCAGCCAAGUAGCGUGAAGGAUGACUGCCCUAUGGGUUGUAAACUUCUUUUAUAAAGGAAUAAAGUCGGGUAUGCAUACCCGUUUGCAUGUACUUUAUGAAUAAGGAUCGGCUAACUCCGUGCCAGCAGCCGCGGUAAUACGGAGGAUCCGAGCGUUAUCCGGAUUUAUUGGGUUUAAAGGGAGCGUAGAUGGAUGUUUAAGUCAGUUGUGAAAGUUUGCGGCUCAACCGUAAAAUUGCAGUUGAUACUGGAUAUCUUGAGUGCAGUUGAGGCAGGCGGAAUUCGUGGUGUAGCGGUGAAAUGCUUAGAUAUCACGAAGAACUCCGAUUGCGAAGGCAGCCUGCUAAGCUGCAACUGACAUUGAGGCUCGAAAGUGUGGGUAUCAAACAGGAUUAGAUACCCUGGUAGUCCACACGGUAAACGAUGAAUUCUCGCUGUUUGCGAUAUGCAGCAAGCGUCCCAGUGAAAGCGUUUAGGGGCUGUAAAACGACGCCCAGU
rnacentral:rRNA from 2 species